rnacentral:tRNA from 7 species
CGUAGGGUGGACUAACGGCAAGUCGCCGGGCUCAUGACCCGGUCAUGCAGGUUCAACUCCUGCCCCUACAA